rnacentral:SRP_RNA from 13 species
CUCCUUGAACCAGCUCAGGUCCGGCAUGUAGAAGAGGUCGCGGUUGCUGAUGUUG